GACGAACCGAGCGAACGUUGUUCGGAAUCACUGGGCUUAAAGGGCGCGUAGGCGGGUGCUCAAGUCCGGGGUGAAAUCCUCCAACUCAACUGGAGAACUGCCUCGGAUACUGGGUGCCUCGAGUGUGGUAGGGGUGUGCGGAACUAUCGGUGGAGCGGUGAAAUGCGUUGAUAUCGAUAGGAACUCCGGUGGCGAAGGCGGCACACUGGACCACAACUGACGCUGAGGCGCGAAAGCCAGGGGAGCAAACAGG
rnacentral:rRNA from 1 species